UGGGGAAUUUUGGACAAUGGGCGCAAGCCUGAUCCAGCAAUGCCGCGUGCAGGAUGAAGGCCUUCGGGUUGUAAACUGCUUUUGUACGGAACGAAACGGCGAGCUCUAAUACAGUUUGCUAAUGACGGUACCGUAAGAAUAAGCACCGGCUAACUACGUCCCAGCAGCCGCGGUAAUACGUAGGGUGCAAGCGUUAAUCGGAAUUACUGGGCGUAAAGCGUGCGCAGGCGGUUAUGUAAGACAGAUGUGAAAUCCCCGGGCUUAACCUGGGAACUGCAUUUGUGACUGCAUAGCUAGAGUACGGUAGAGGGGGAUGGAAUUCCGCGUGUAGCAGUGAAAUGCGUAGAUAUGCGGAGGAACACCGAUGGCGAAGGCAAUCCCCUGGACCUGUACUGACGCUCAUGCACGAAAGCGUGGGGAGCAAACA
rnacentral:rRNA from 1 species